rnacentral:rRNA from 1 species
GACGAACGCUGGCGGCGUGCUUAACACAUGCAAGUCGAACGGAAAGGCCCCUUUGGGGGUACUCGAGUGGCGAACGGGUGAGUAACACGUGAGUAACCUGCCCUUGACUUCGGGAUAACUUCAGGAAACUGGGGCUAAUACCGGAUAGGAAUCCUUGCUGCAUGGUGGGGGUUGGAAAGCUUCGGCGGUUUUGGAUGGACUCGCGGCUUAUCAGCUUGUUGGUGGGGUAGUGGCUUACCAAGGCUUUGACGGGUAGCCGGCCUGAGAGGGCGACCGGCCACAUUGGGACUGAGAUACGGCCCAGACUCCUACGGGAGGCAGCAGUGGGGAAUAUUGCACAAUGGGCGGAAGCCUGAUGCAGCAACGCCGCGUGCGGGAUGAAGGCCUUCGGGUUGUAAACCGCUUUCAGCAGGGGCGAAGCUUGUGGUGACGGUACCUGCAGAAGAAGCACCGGCUAACUACGUG